rnacentral:rRNA from 1 species
AGAGUUUGAUCAUGGCUCAGAUUGAACGCUGGCGGCAGGCCUAACACAUGCAAGUCGAGCGGCAGCACAGAGAAACUUGUUUCUCGGGUGGCGAGCGGCGGACGGGUGAGUAAUGCCUGGGAAAUUGCCCUGAUGUGGGGGAUAACCAUUGGAAACGAUGGCUAAUACCGCAUGAUAGCUUCGGCUCAAAGAGGGGGACCUUCGGGCCUCUCGCGUCAGGAUAUGCCCAGGUGGGAUUAGCUAGUUGGUGAGGUAAGGGCUCACCAAGGCGACGAUCCCUAGCUGGUCUGAGAGGAUGAUCA